rnacentral:rRNA from 1 species
AUUGAACGCUGGCGGCAGGCUUAACACAUGCAAGUCGAGCGGGGUGAGGUGCUUCGGUACUGAUCCUAGCGGUGGACGGGUGAGUAAUGCUUAGGAAUCUGCCAUUUAGUGGGGGACAACAUUCCGAAAGGAAUGCUAAUACCGCAUACGUCCUACGGGAGAAAGCAGGGGAUCUUCGGACCUUGCGCUAAAUGAUGGGCCUAAGUCGGAUUGGCUAGUUGGUGGGGUAAAGGCCUACCAAGGCGACGAUCUGUAGCGGGUCUGAGAGGAGGAUCCGCCACACUGGGAAUGAGACGCGGCCCAGACUCCUACGGGAGGCAGCAGUGGGGAAUAUUGGACAAUGGGCGGAAGCCUGAUCCAGCCAUGCCGCGUGUGUGAAGAAGGCCUUUUGGUUGUAAAGCACUUUAAGCGAGGAGGAGGCUACCUAGAUUAAUACUCUGGGAUAGUGGACGUUACUCGCAGAAUAAGCACCGGCUAACUCUGUGCCAGCAGCCGCCGUAAAAC